GACGAACGCUGGCGGCGUGCCUAAUACAUGCAAGUAGGACGCAGUUGCGAACGGGUGAGUAACGCGUAGGUAACUACCUAUUAGAGGGGGAUAACUAUUGGAAACGAUAGCUAAUACCGCAUACUAGUAGAUGGACCUGCGUUGUAUUAGCUAGUAGGUAGGGUAAUGGCCUACCUAGGCAACGAUACAUAGACAACCCGGGAGGGGGAUCGGCCACACUGGGACUGGGAAACUGCCCAGACUCCUACCGGAGGCAGGAGUAGGGAAUCUUUGGCAAUGGGGGGAACCCUGAACGCGCAACGCCGCGGGAGGGAAGAAGGUUUUCGGAUCGUAAAGCUCUGUUGUGAAGGAAGCGGUACUUAACCAGAAAGGGACGGCUAACUACGUGCCAGCAGCCGCGGUAAUAC
rnacentral:rRNA from 1 species